rnacentral:sRNA from 2 species
CAUCAAUUGGUCCACCAGCGUGGAUGGACUGUUUCCUUGGGUGUUGGCUUGGACACCAUGGCGCCCAUUUUGUGCCGACGAGAGAACCCCACAUUGCCAAAUUUUGUGUGGCGGAUGAGGGGUACUAACAGUGAUUCUGGUUUUCCCCUUAGUUAUCUCUUUUUGCCUUUUGGCCCUGCAGGAGAAAGAAAACUAAUUUAGACAGCCGUUAUCGGCGGCAGUUGGGCGAACUGCCCUGAGCGUUGGAAGAAACUUUAACCAAGAUAUCGGCAGUAGUUAAAUCCGUGAAACUUCAUCAUAGCAACUUGCUUGAAUGAAGUGCAAUUCCUCGGCUAUUGGGCUUUUGAUCUGUGAAUGGACUGGUUUCCGGCUCGUUUGCCACUCGUCACCUCUCGCUGGUUAAUCAUUACACGGGGGUCGUUGAUAUAUGGUUUUUAAACGAAAAGAAGAGAAGGUUUAUGUCAAAAUACAUCGGCUGGUUAUAAAAGAACGUGGAAAUGAAAUUGUCUAUUGGAGUUGGAUGCUCGUAUGUUAAUAGAUCAUAAGCCUUUGCUACUAUUUAUUGACAUAAUAUAACAAGCGUUCUAAGAAUACGGAUUUACUGGUCUUAUGAGCAACUCGCAGCCAAGUACAGAGUAGUCUAUAUAUAAUGGAGA